CCUACGGGUGGCAGCAGUGGGGGAUAUUGCACAAUGGGGGGAACCCUGAUGCAGCGACGCCGCGUGGGUGAAGAAGCGCCUCGGCGCGUAAAGCCCUGUCAGCAGGGAAGCAAAUGACGGUACCUGAAGAAGAAGCCCCGGCUAACUACGUGCCAGCAGCCGCGGUAAUACGAAGGGGGCAAGCGUUAUCGGGAUUUACUGGGAGUAAAGGGGGCGCAGGCGGGGGUGGAAGCCAGGAGUGAAAGCCCAGGGCCCAACCCCGGGACUGCACUUGGGACUGCGUGGCUGGAGUGAAGGAGGGGGAAGCGGAAUUCCUGGUGUAGCGGUGAAAUGCGUAGAUAUCAGGAGGAACACCGGUGGCGAAGGCGGCCUGCUGGUCUGCAACUGACGUUGAGGCCCGAAAGCGUGGGGAGCAAACAGGAUUAGAUACCCGAGUAGUC
rnacentral:rRNA from 1 species